GAGUUUGAUCUUGGCUCAGAUUGAACGCUGGCGGCAUGCCUUACACAUGCAAGUCGAACGGCAGCGCGGGAGCAAUCCUGGCGGCGAGUGGCGAACGGGUGAGUAAUACAUCGGAACGUGCCCAAUCGUGGGGGAUAACGCAGCGAAAGCUGUGCUAAUACCGCAUACGAUCUACGGAUGAAAGCAGGGGACCGCAAGGCCUUGCGCGAAUGGAGCGGCCGAUGGCAGAUUAGGUAGUUGGUGAGGUAAAGGCUCACCAAGCCGACGAUCUGUAGCUGGUCUGAGAGGACGACCAGCCACACUGGGACUGAGACACGGCCCAGACUCCUACGGGAGGCAGCAGUGGGGAAUUUUGGACAAUGGGGGCAACCCUGAUCCAGCAAUGCCGCGUGAGUGAAGAAGGCCUUCGGGUUG
rnacentral:rRNA from 1 species